CUACGGGAGGCUCCAGUGAGGAAUAUUGCACAAUGGGGGGAACCCUGAUGCAGCAACGCCGCGUGGAGGAUGACGCAUUUCGGUGUGUAAACUCCUUUUAUAUGUCAAGAAAAUGACGGUAGCAUAUGAAUAAGCACCGGCUAACUCCGUGCCAGCAGCCGCGGUAAUACGGAGGGCGCAAGCGUUACUCGGAAUCACUGGGCGUAAAGAGCGUGUAGGCGGAUUAAAAAGUCAGAAGUGAAAUCCUAUAGCUUAACUAUAGAACUGCUUCUGAAACUCUUAAUCUAGAAUAUGGGAGAGGUAGAUGGAAUUUCUGGUGUAGGGGUAAAAUCCGUAGAUAUCACUAGGAAUACCUAAAGCGAAGGCGAUCUCCUGGAACAUUACUGACGCUAAGGCGUGAAAGCGUGGGGAGCAAACAGGAUUAGAUACCCGGGUAGUC
rnacentral:rRNA from 1 species